CACGUAGGGCGCAAGCGUUGUCCGGAAUUAUUGGGCGUAAAGAGCUCGUAGGCGGUCUGUUGCGUCCGCUGUGAAAUCUCCGGGCUUAACCCGGAAAGGUCAGCCGAUACUGCGGGGCUAGAGUGCAGAAGGGGCAACUGGAAUUCUCGGUGUAGCGGUGAAAUGCGUAGAUAUCGAGAGGAACACCUGCGGCGAAGGCGGGUUGCUGGGCUGACACUGACGCUGAAGCGCGAAAGCUAGGGGAGCGAACGGG
rnacentral:rRNA from 1 species